rnacentral:tRNA from 1 species
GCUCAGUUGGUUAGGCGUCCGACUUCGACUCAGGUUAUGAUCUCAUAGCUCGUGGGUUCGAGUCCCGCACUGAGCU